rnacentral:rRNA from 1 species
GUGGGGAAUAUUGGACAAUGGGCGAAAGCCUGAUCCAGCCAUGCCGCGUGUGUGAAGAAGGUCUUCGGAUUGUAAAGCACUUUAAGUUGGGAGGAAGGGCAGUAAGUUAAUACCUUGCUGUUUUGACGUUACCGACAGAAUAAGCACCGGCUAACUUCGUGCCAGCAGCCGCGGUAAUACGAAGGGUGCAAGCGUUAAUCGGAAUUACUGGGCGUAAAGCGCGCGUAGGUGGUUUUGUAAGUUGGAGGUGAAAUCCCCGGGCUCAACCUGGGAACUGCCUCCAAAACUGCAGGACUAGAGUACGGUAGAGGGUAGUGGAAUUUCCUGUGUAGCGGUGAAAUGCGUAGAUAUAGGAAGGAACACCAGUGGCGAAGGCGACUACCUGGACUGAUACUGACACUGAGGUGCGAAAGCGUGGGGAGCAAACAGGAUUAGAUACCCGUGUAGUCC